rnacentral:lncRNA from 1 species
AAGUGCAGAACAGAGAGACAGCCAGGGAGACAAUCGGCAGAGGUGGGAGACAACCCAGAGGAGGAGACAAUAUUUACACACCACACAUCUCAUGGGGCCCCUGUGCAAAACACAAGCAACUCAAACUCCUCCAGAGCGAGAAAACAACCCACUAGAAGGGCUUAAGGCGCCUGUGUGGACACCUCAGAUGAAGACAUGUGAAUGGCCAGCAGGUCUAGGAAAAGGUGCUCGUCAUCACUCAUCAUCAGGGACAUGCAAAUCCAAACCACAAGGCACCCCUCACGCCUGCUAGAGUGGCUGUUCCCAAAAAGACACAUGGAACGAGUGUUGGUGAGGAUUCGGGGGAAAGAAACAGUGAAACUCUGGAGGGAUAGAGGGAGGGAAGGUUGAAAAACUGCCUAUUGGGUACUAUCCUCAUAUCCUGGGUGAUGGGUAGAGUCAUACCUCAAACCUCAGCAUCACUCAAUAUACUCAUGCAACAAAUCUGCACAGGUACCCACCGAAUCUAAAACACAAGUUCAAAUUAUAAAAAAAAAUUUAAAAAGAAGUAAAUAACAUAAGUAAUAAUUAAAAACCCACCGGCCCCAACAUAUUAUUAUUAACAAAGGUCAUCAGGGUGAAGUUUGGAAACAGGUAUACAUUGUGAUGCAAUCGUCAGAACCAAGCUAGUUAACAUCUCCACCACCUCACAUAGAUACCAUGUUCUUUCCUUCUUAUUAUUUAUUUAACUCUUGGGCUCAAGCAAUCCUGCUUCAGCCUCCCUAGCAGCUGGGGUUACAGGCACGAGCCACAUCUGGCUUUCUUUUUAUUUCUUGAUGUGUGUGUGUGUGUGUGUGUGUGUGUGUGUGUGGUGGAAACAUUUAAGAUACACCCUCUGAGCAAAUUUCAAGUAUACACUACAGAUGCUCCUCGACUUACAAUGAAGUUACAUCCUGAUAAACCCUACUGUGAAUGUAAAAUAUAGAAAAUAAAAAUGCAUUUACUAUUAGGUCACUUACUGAACAUCAGCACUUAGCCUAGCCUACCUUCGACGUUCUCAGAACAUUUACAUUCCCCUGCAGUCAGGCAAAAUCAUUCACAGAAAAGAAAAUAAAGUUUCUCUAAGAAUGUGUGACCAACCACCAUCCUUCUCUCAUGGGGAUGUGGAGUUUCCCUCGUCUUGGAUGUCUAACAGACCUGUCAAUCACCACACAUCCCAGACCGACCACAUCUUUCCCCACCUCACAUAAAGGUGGCUCCAGCCCCCUUGAUGUGCAGUCCACAAGAUUUGUGGGGUUAUCCUUGAUUCCUGCAUUUCCCUCACAUGACACACUCAGUCUCUCAACAAAUCCUAUACCUUAAUUAAUGUGUUUAUUGACAAGAAUUUCACGCGACAUAAAAUUAACUGUUUUAUCUGUACAGUUUAGCGGCAUUUGGUGCAUUUACACUGCUGUGCAGCAGCUCCUCUAGCUGGUUCCUG